GACAGAGGGUGCAAACGUUGUUCGGAAUUACUGGGCGUAAAGCGAGUGUAGGCGGUCUGUAAAGUCGGGUGUGAAAGCCCCGGGCUCAACCCGGGAAGUGCACUCGAAACUCACAGGCUAGAGUAUCGGAGAGGUUGGUGGAAUUCUCGGUGUAGAGGUGAAAUUCGUAGAUAUCGAGAGGAACAUCGGUGGCGAAGGCGGCCUUCUGGACGGUGACUGACGCUGAGAUGCGAAAGCGUGGGGAGCAAACAGG
rnacentral:rRNA from 1 species